GAUGAACGCUAGCUACAGGCUUAACACAUGCAAGUCGCGGGGCAGCAUGGGGGUUGCUUGCAAUCCCCGAUGGCGACCGGCGCACGGGUGAGUAACGCGUAUCCAACCUGCCCUUCACCACGGGAUAACCCGGCGAAAGUCGGACUAAUACCGUAUGUUGUCCAUUGACGGCAUCCGAUUUGGACGAAAGGUUUGGCGGUGAAGGAUGGGGAUGCGUCCGAUUAGCUGGACGGCGGGGUGACGGCCCACCGUGGCGACGAUCGGUAGGGGUUCUGAGAGGGAGGUCCCCAACACUGGAACUGAGACACGGUCCAGACUCCUACGGGAGGCAGCAGUGAGGAAUAUUGGGCAAUGGGCGUAAGCCUGAACCAGCCAAGUAGCGUGCAGGAUGACGGCCCUAUGGGUUGUAAACUGCUUUUAUGCGGGGAUAAAGUGGCCCACGUGUGGGUUUUUGCAGGUACCGCAUGAAUAAGAACCGGCUAAUUCCGUG
rnacentral:rRNA from 1 species